UACGUAGGGUGCGAGCGUUGUCCGGAAUUACUGGGCGUAAAGAGCUCGUAGGCGGUUUGUCGCGUUGUUCGUGAAAACUCACAACUCAAUUGUGGGCGUGCGGGCGAUACGGGCAGACUGGAGUACUGCAGGGGAGACUGGAAUUCCUGGUGUAGCGGUGGAAUGCGCAGAUAUCAGGAGGAACACCGGUGGCGAAGGCGGGUCUCUGGACAGUUCCUGACACUGAGACACGAAGGCCAGGGGAGCAAACGGG
rnacentral:rRNA from 1 species